ACUGCGCUUCCGUCGCACAGAGCCUGACGAAGGCUUGGGCUCCCCGCGCGGUGACCGUCGAGGUGACCUGCACCUGGCUCCAUGGCGGAACCGGCCGGCACGGAUUAUUCCCCUCUCGGGAGAGGUCUGCAGCCGGGCCUCAGUGCUUCAGUUCGUGGCCUGGCAUUUUGUGUCAGUGUUUUUUAACCUUUGGACCCUAGUUCAACCGACUCCGAGACCUAGGGGACAGAUCUUAAGUUUUACAAUAACCCAGGGGUCAGACAGGGUCUGAUCUAGCCUGUGGGGCAAGUACGGGGAAGACACGGGACCUCUUGGAGGGGGUCAGUAGGCUUGUAGGGGGAAAGACGCACACAGAGACUAAAGGACGAGAUGGAGCAAGGUUCAACCCCCUAGCUGAGUGUUGGCAGUGUCGGGAUUUUAACGAAGACAUUGGUGCUUAUUAUGGUGAGGGGACUCAGGACAGUUUAGGGGAAGAGAGUGGCAUUUGAGUCCUAACUCGUAAGGAAGACUGGGUAGGACUACUUGAAAAUAACUUUUAAAAAUUAAUUAUAAAGCUGGUAAAAAUAGGAAAACAUCUAUGGCCCCACUGUCCAAAGACGACUUUUAACUUCUUGGAGAAUAUCCUUUCAGAUAGUUGUCUUUGUAAAUGUAUACUUUUAAUGUUUUUUCGUUUGCCUUUUUAAAAUAAAUUUUUUGGGGGACAGGGUCUUGCUCUGUUACCCAGGCUGUAGUGCAGUAGAACGAUUAUAGCUCAUUGCAACCCGGACGUCCUGGGUUCAAGCUAUCCUCACCUCUCAGCCUCUCGACUGGCUAGGACCACAGCCUCGAGCCAUCAUGUCUGGCUAAUUUUUACGUUUUUUUGUAGAGAUGGGGGUCUCGCUGUGUUGUCCAGGCUGGUCUUAAACUCCUUGCUUCAACAGAUCCUCCCACUCCAGCCUCCCAAAAUGUGAUUACAGGCUGAGUCACCACGCCUAGCAUGGUUUUUUUUGUUUUGUUUGUUUUGUAAGCAAAAUUGACAUACAUACUGGAGGUACAAUUCUGUAGCUGGCCUUCUUUACAGAGUUUAGAAUAAAUGUCUUUCCAUGUCAAGUUUUCACUUACAUCCUUUGUAGUAGUUGCAAAAUAUUCCAUUUUAUAGCUGUAUCUUAAUUGUGGAUUAAGGUUGGAGUGCAGUGGCACUAUCAUGGCUUAGUCCAGCCUCAGCCUUCUAGGUUCAAGCGAUCUUCCCACCUCAGCCUCCCAAGAAGCUGGGACUACAGGGACCCGCCACCCCACCUAGCUAAUUAAAAAAAAAAUUGUAGAGAUGGAGUCUCAGUGUGUAGCCCAGUCUCAAGUGACCCUCCCUCGUUGGCUUCCCAAAGCGCUGAGAUUGCAGGUGAGCCACUGUACUUGGACUUUUUUUUUUUUUUUUGCUUUUGUUUGUUUUUUGUUUUAGCUAUUACAAUGCUGGUUGAAUAUCCUCAUAGCUAAAUAUCUGUGCAGUUUUAAAAUUUCCUUAUAAGUUACUAGAAAUGGAAUGACUGGGUUAAAGGACAUGAUCAUUUUUUAAGACUCUUGAUACAUACUUACAAAUUGCCUCCCGAAAAAGUGGUGCUAAUUUACUCAAAUUGGUAAGCCUCACCCCCUCUGUGGAUCAUUCCUUGCACUAAGUUUCUUCCAACUCUGUCACCUCCAGCUUUUUACUCACAGCCUACCUUCCAAUCUGGGGCCCAGCUCCCAGAUCGGAAGAUACCAGACUUUGGUAUUGAACCAAAGUCCAAUACACUGCACUGGCAUUCAGAGUCCCUUUUUAUUCCGCAGCUGUCAUAGUGAAGCUUGCAGCUUCCUUGAAAUUCCAGUUUGUUUAUUUCUUUAUUUUUUUGAGACAGAGUCUUGCUCUAUCGCCCAGGCUGGAGUGCAGUGGCGCCGUCUCAGCUCACUGCAACCUCUGCCUCCUGGUUCAAGCGAUUCUUCUGCCUCAGCCUCCCGAGUAGCUGGGAUUACAGGCAUGCACCACCACACGUGGCUAAUUUUUGUGCUUUUAGUAGAGAUGGGGUUUCACCAUGUUGGCCAGGCUGGUCUCAAACUCCUGACCUCAAGCGAUCCGCCCACCUCAGCCUCCCAAAGUGCUGGGAUUAUAGGCAUGAGCCAUUGCACCCAGCCAAAAUUCCAGUUUGAAUGUUAUAAUUCAGGGGUCUUGGACUCCUGCUCUAGAGAAAUUAUUCAUGUUAAGUUAGGGGUAACACAGUACAGGCCAUAUAAGUUUUAGAAAAAGCAGUUUAAAACUUAGCAUUAGAAAACAUAAGUACUGCCUGGUGAAAUGGCACGUGCCUAUAAUCCCAGCUACUCAGGAGGCUGAGGCAGGAGGAUCCCUUGAGCCCAGGAGUUCAAGUCCAGCCUGGGCAAUAUAGUCUAGUGGCCACAUUAAAAAAAGUAAAACAGCCGGGCGCGGUGGCUCACGCCUGUAAUCCCAGCACUUUGGGAGGCCGAGGCGGGUGGAUCACGAGGUCAGGAGAUUGAGACCAUCCUGGCUAACACGGUGAAACCCUGUCUCCACUAAAAAUACAAAAAAUUCUCCGGGUGUGGUGGUGGGCGCCUGUGGUCCCAGCUACUCAGGAGGCUGAGGCAGGAGAAUGGUGUGAGCCUGGGAGGCGGAGCUUGCAGUGAGCCGAGAUCGCGCCACUGCACUCCAGCCUGGGCGACAGAGCGAGACUCUGUCUCAAAAAAAAAAAAAAAAAAAAAAAAAAAGUAAAACAGGGCAGGGUGCAGUGGCUCACGCCUGUAAUCCUAGCACUUUGGGAGGCCGAGAUGGGUGGAUCAGUUGAGGUCAGGAGUUUGAGACCAGCCUGGCCAACAUGGCGAAACCCCAUCUCUACUAAAAAUACAAAAAUUAGCUGGGUGUGAUGGUGCGUGCCUGUAGUCCCAGCUACUCAGGAGGCUGAGGCAGGAGGAUCGUUUGAACUCGGGAGCUGGAGGUUGCAGUGAGCCGAGAUUGAGCCACAGCACUCCAGGCUGUGCUACAGUGUGAGACUGUCUCAAAAAAAAGUAAAACAGAUGAAACUAAUUUUAAUAACAUUUUAUUUAUUCAAACAAUAUAUUCAAAAUAUUAUUUCAACUUGUGAUUGAUAAAAUACUAAUGAGAUAUUUUAUAUUUUUUCUCCAGUACUGUCUUCAAAAUCCAGGGUAUAUUUUUCAGUUAGCAGCACAUUUCAAUUCAGACCAGCCGCAUUUCAAGUGCUCAGCAGCCACCUGUGGCUAGUGGCCACAGUAUUGGCCAGUGUAGCCCAAGGAUAUCUCAAAUUAUCUCAAAGCUAGAUCAGUGAUUAAAGGAUUCUCAGGCCAGGCAUGGUAGUUUUCAGGCCUGGUAUGGUGGUUUACGCCUGUAAUCCCCGCACUUUGGGAGGCCUAGGUGGGCGGAUGGCUUGAGCCCAGGAGUUUGAGACCAGCCUAGCCAACGUGGGGAGACCCUGUCUCUACCAAAGCACAAAAAUUAGCUGGGCAUGGUGAUGCGCACCUGUGGUCUCAAGUACUUUGUGUGAGGUGGGAGGAUCACUUGAGCCCGGGAGGUUGAGGCUGCAGUGAGCUGAGAUUGCACAACUGCACUCCAGCCUGGGUGACAGAAUGAGACCCUGUCUCAAAAAAAAAAAAGGAUUCUCCGAAAGACUGGCGAUUGCUUUUUAAGCUAUAAGGAAGGCCUUUGAAGGGAAAUCAAGUAGGAAGAGGAUGAUAGCUGGCUCACAUGUCCUUGCCACAUGGGAGGUGAGAGAGCAGGCUACUCCUUACCACCCCCGCUUUCUCUGCCCUGCUGCUGUCUUGCCCCUGUGCAAGUAGGCAAUGGGAGAGGAAUAGUAUAUAUAAAUUGGGCAAGUGCUAGGGGCUGGAGUGAUGGUUGGGGAAAGUAUCUGACCCUUGUUUUCUACUUUCUUUAGCUUGUGGGGUAUUUAACAAUUCUUUGUUCUUAGUUUUGAGUGCUGGCAACCAUUUCUGGGGUGACAGGAAAAGUUCCAUGACAUCCGUAUUAGAGCAUUUGUUUCAUUAUAUUGUAAUUUUUUAUGUUUACUUUUGAAAAAGUUCAUUCUUUUCUCUUUUUAAUUCUUAUUCUUUUUUUUUUCUUUUCUUUUUGAGGCAGGGUUUUACUCUAUCACCCAGGCUGGAGUGCAGUGGCACAAUCUUGGCUCACUGCAACCUCUGCCUCCUGAGCUCGUGAUUCAUCCUCCUGAGUAGCUGGGACUACAGGUGUACACUACCAUGUGUAGCUAAAUUUUUUGUAUUUUUUGUAGAGAUGGGGUUUUGCCAUGUUGCCAGGCUGGUCUCGAACUCCUGCAAUUUGCUCUCCUUGGCCUCACGAAAUGCUGGGAUUACAGGCAUAAGCUACAGCACCCAGCCCUUACGUUUACUUUUCAUUGACAGGAAGAGUGUCUUCAUCUCUGCAUCCCUAGUGCAACAGAGCAUGACAAAAAUUCAACAAAUAUUUAUUGAAGAGUCUUGAUGUCUUUUGGGAAAGGAACUCUAUGGUUACCUUUACUCUAAGGUAAAGAAAUUUAGGUCCUGAACUUUAACCACCUUCUCCUCUUCUUUCUUCCCUCUUUCAUAAAUGAGCUCUUGGAAAAUUAAAAUGCCAGGAGGGUCCAGCAGAGAAUACCCAAGCCCACAUGUCCUGAUGGGAAGUGGGGGAUAAGUAGAGAGGGAAACACAGACCCUGUAGGCCAUCUCACUGCUGCUGGCCCAGGGGACCCUAACUCCUUUUGUUGACUCAUCAGAAGUAGAAUCCUCCUGAGGGUCUGUUUAAGAAGCACAGCUCUGGUAGAAAGGGUAGCUUUCCUAUGGGUACGGAGGGCUCUGCUACCCCAGGGCUAUCCACACUGGCCUGUGAAUCACUCUCAAAUGCUUAGGGUCACGGGCUUUCAGUGGAAUGAGCCCUCAUGUGCCACCAGGGGGCACCAAGGCCACAGAAAACCCUAUUCAGAAGGUUCUGGGGUGAGGGAAAGGAAUCCACGGGUUUGUGGAGCUGGCGGAGCAUGGGUGAGGACAGCAUUAUGCUAGGUUGGUGGCCUUGAAGUCAGAUGUAAAUUGGGAUCCUGGCUUGGCCACUGACUAUCCAUGGGAACUUUGAAUCUCAGGGGGCUCAUUUGUGAUGUGGGGGUACCAUUAUCUGCCUCAUCAGGUUGUGGGGAGGAUUAUAUGAGAUACCUUAUGUAAGAGGGGCUGGUGCAUUGUGGAAGUCAACAAGUAAGUUUUGUUAAAUUUGAGUAAGAAGACCUGUUUGUUUCCUCAAGUUGCUUAUAAUCUAGGUGAGGACACAUCUGAGAGAAUAACUAAUAGUUCAGUGAAGGUAAGAGCCAAAUGAUUGGCACAGACCUCAAGUGGUCUGGCAUUUACGGGAGAGGGGGAUUGUGAAACAGGAAUUGAAAGAAAUUUAAAAAUGCAUAAGCAAAAACUCAGUUUAUGUUUUAAAAAAACCAAUUCCCCCUGAGAAAGAGAAAGAGGUGGAGUCCUUUAAAAAUUAUCUGCUUGUUUUUCUGUCUGUGGCUAGUGAGCCUUAUCUCUCCCUUUCCCAGGCAUUGUGAAGACCCUGUUUCUCUAGCUGUGCAGCUGCAAGGUCACUAGGCAGAUAAACUCAAGCCAUAAAACAUGUUUUUCCUUGAAAAGUAAGAAAUAAUGUAAUGCAUGUGUCAAAUGAAUAACUAUUUCUCGCUUCUGUAAUAUGCUUCCCUUCGCACAGAUCUCCCCCUGCCCCAUGAAAUGCUUUAAAGGUAACUUAACUCUUUGUUCGGGGCUCAGUCCUUUGGAUGUUAAUCUGACUGGCUUGGUGCACCUAAAUAAUAAAUAACAUAUAUCCUCCUCAACCCCUCAGUCUCUCUGAUUCCUAAAUUAUCCCGCUGUAAUUGCAGGGCUAGAUUUGCCGACCUGCUUUAUAAAGCUAUGUUAAAUCAGUAUAUUUUAUUCUUUUUAUUAGACUUUUCUAUAGCAUAAAAAUGAUAAAAUACAGCAAGAAAAAAAGUCACCUGAAACUCUAGUCCUAACCCUAAUAUGAAUGUGAAGGAGCUGGGCUAGAAUGGAAUAGGGUAGAAUUUGCAUAAGGUGGAAAUGGGGACAGGCCUGUCACAAGGAUCACUAGAGUCUUGCUGGCAAAAGCAUCUUACUGCAUUCAUGCUGCAGCACAGGACCCAGAUGCAGAACAGGUUGGGGACACAGCCCUGCCUUCUAAUAGUGGACACCAUCUGAGAGCUGAGCCAUAGAUUCAAAGCCUAACUCCUAAUAGCGAUUGGUAGUAAUAUCAUCAGCAGUUCAUAUACAUGGAGUGACAACAGCGUGCCAGGCAAUUCAAAGGGUCUCUCGGUCCUCACAGCAUUUUUGAAGUAGCUAACAUCACUAUCCCCCUUUUACAGUUAAAAACAACAACAACAACAACAAAAACACAAAACCCUGAGGCUCAGAAGAUAAAUAUUUGCUGAAGAUCACUGUGCUUGUAAGUGGUGGAGCCUGACCAUUAACUUCCCCACGACACUGCUUCAAUUUCUAUCACUUCAUCAACCACACAACCCGAGAACUGUGAGGGGAUUUAGCAGGCCCAGUCCAGAUCUCUUAUUGUACAGAGAAGAAAUCUGAGGCUCAGAGAGGGGAAGGGACUAAUUUGGACCUUUAACUUCGGAUUCUUAACUUUCUUUCUGGUGUUCUAACUAUACUGUACUACAAGAGGCUGUCUUAGAGCUUUAGUUCAACCAGCUUCAGAGAUACUCAUUGUUAUGGGUUGAAUUAUGUCUCCCCAAAAUUCAUAUGUCAAAGUUCUAACCCCCAGUACCUCAGAAUGUGACCAUAUUUGGAGAUAGGACCUUUACAGAGGUAAUCAGGUGAAAAUGAGGUUGUUAGGGUGGGCCUUAGUCCAGUAUGGCUGGUGUCCUCAUAAAAAGGGGAAAUUUGGACACAGAUGUACAUAGAGGGAAGAUGGUGUGAAGAGACAUAAAGAACAGAUAGUCAUCUAUAGCCAAGGCCUGGAACAGAUCCUUCCCUAACAGCCCUCAGAAGGAAGCAACCUCACUGACACCUUGAUUUUGGACUGCUACCCUCUGGCACUGUGAGACAAUAAAUUCAUGUUGGUUAGGCCACCCAGUUUGUUAUGGCAGCCCUAGGAAACCUUUGUGGAUAUAUCUGUUCGUAUACCCAUAAAGUCUGCAAGUCAAAAAUAUCACAGACUUUUGGCAGCCCUUCAUUCAAGCACUGGCUGGGAGGGUCACCCUCCCCGAGGCAAAAGGAUAGAGCAAAUGAUCUUUCCAGCUUGCUCCCAACCUUGAUCUUUGGCCAAGAUAUUUUUCUUUCACUGGACAUUGGCCAACAUUGGUGUCAUAACUUAAUUUGACUGUGACCUUCUUGAGUCUUUUAUGUCUCUGAGCUUGACCUGUAGAAGAAGCUCAAUAAAUGUGGGUAGAGGGGAUGAGUGGGAAAAUCAGCUCCCAGCCAUUCCAGUUCAAGCCUCUUCAAGCAGAAGAGUCCCACCUGAAAGACCUCAUUUUCACUUGAUUACUCGAUCUCCAAGCAAUAGGUGGGGCAGGAAGCAGGGUAUGUAAGGCCUGUCAGUGGAUGGAAGUUGAAGUUGGACACCAUCUCCUAAAGUUUAGAGCUGAGCCCAAAUUCUGGAAAACACAAGCAAAAUACAUUUUAUAUGACUCAGGAUGGGCUAAAGAAGUUCCAGUACAGGAAACUGUUUUCCUGCUGCUUUAUUAAUUUUGCUACAGAGGAUAAAUGAGAUGCAGACUUUCAUAUCCAAGUCUUCAUUAGAUGCCCAGUUAAUGCAGCCAUGACAAAUGGGAAUGAAGCCCUUAUGAAUAAAAAAAAGAUCAACCCAGUAUAAAAAAAUCAUAGACCAGAGAAAUGAAAAUUUAGAGGAGCUGAUAAAAUACCCUAUCCUUAAUUAGACUGUCAGCAUACACAUCAAAUCAGCCUUAAUGCCAAGAUUUAUUGGCCUUGGAAUUGGGUAAAUGAAAUAAGUGCUUACAAAUGAAUGGAAAAGAAAUUACCUGUAUUAAAACGUAUUUGUGAUGCAGGCCUGUGCACUGAGGGUUUUAGUCAAACUCAGGCUUGCAGCUUCUUUUGCUCUGCAUCCAUUUCCACCCCAUGUUCCCCAGUGGGUUUCAGAGACCCUCUUUGUGGGGUAACAAUAUGUACCAUUGUCAACUACCUCUGCUGUUGUCCUGGAAAAAUCCUUCUUGGACAGUAAAAUAUUUUUGUCUUUAUUUCACCAUCUCCAGAUUAGAUGGGUGUUACUGAUUCUUACCUCAGAGAAGAGAAUGUCAUGGAGACAAAAUGACCUGCUUAGAGUUCUGCACCCCCCAGCAUGGAGAGCAGAGCGCAAAGAUUUCUUCCGGACUCCCACAUUCCCCUUGGAAUCCAAGAACUGGUCUACUGUCACAACACUUUAGUACCCUCUUGUAAGCCUGUGGACAAAUCCUCUGAUGCCUUGAUACCUCGGUUUUCCCCCACUAUAAAUGGGAAGAUAAAUUCACUAGAAACAGUACUUACCUUGCAGUGUCAUUAUGAGAAUUUCAUGAGACAAUGCAAUAUAAAGCUCCUAGCACAGUUCCAGGCACCAUUGUAAGCACUGAACAAAUGAAAGCUGUUGUCAUUAGGAUCUCAAGAAAUGACAGCUGAGGCAAAUGUGGAUUAGACUGCAUUCAGCAUUCUUAGCUGCAAGCAACAGAAGCUGACGCUGGUUUAAAGAAUAGGAAAGGAAGUUAAUUAAAAUGACAUUGGGUAGCUUGUGGAACUGGGAGGACUAGAGAGCUCAGUCUAAGUUCUAGUGACAAAGCUUCAAAUCAUACAUGAGGAAAAUGCCCCUCUGCAGGAGGAACGUAAUCCUGCAAUCACUGCUUCCCCUGAAGCCAGAUGCCUCUACUGCUGCCCUUCCCAGCAGUGAUGGAGCCUGGAUCACAUACCUGGCUUUAGUUGUAAAGGAGGCUGGAGAGAAAAUGCUCUGCUCUAUGUAACUGUCUUGAAAGUGGCCCACACAUAGCAAAGCCAUUCAAAAGCGGGUGAGCAGCAUGAAAGCAUCCAGAAGGAUUCUUGCUUUGCAUGAGGGAGAACUCUUGCUCCCAGAGUGUGAGACCAGCAGGGGCAUUUUCCUCAUGUGUGAUUAGAAGCUUUGUCACUAGAAGCUUAGACUGAGUAGGACACCUCUGAGUGUGAAUGUCCUACCUGAGUUCUGCCUCAUGCAAAGCAAGAAUCCCUCUGGAGGGAUUGACACCACAGCCUCUUCCACAAUGUCUCCAAACAACUUUACUGGGCAGCAUUCCACUCCUUGACAAACGGGAGAGGUGCAUUCUACCUUCUCUCCUGCAUGAGCCUAGACUAAUAUGGAAUUUGGGAGUGUUGAUCAUUGUACUUUGUGCUCCUAGAGAUAAGGGUCAUCAUAAAGCAUCUCAGAGUCUCACUGUAGAUCCACAGUUCCAUUUCUUUAUGGAUCCCUUACCCCUACUUUGCCAAAUUCUAUGCAGAUAGCAAUAAUAAUUCAGACAGGGCUUCCUCACUGAAGGAGUUUGUGCUCUAUAUAGUUAAUAAGCUAGAGAUAAUGAAAAAAAAAAAAACUCAACUUGAACUUUGGGUAAGAGAAACUUUUCAGACCAACGAUCAUUACCAAUAACAGCUUCCACGCAUGACCCUGCCCGGAGAUUGGGGCCUGCACUACUGUUUCCAGGAAACACAUUCUUUUGAAUUUUUUUAUUUUCUUUGUAGAGAUGGGGAUCUCACUCUGUUGCCCAGGCUGGUCUCAAACUCCUGGCUUCAAGCAAUCCUCCUGCUUCGGCCUCCCAAACUUCUGGGAUUACAGAUAUGAGCCACCACGGCUGGCUGACAGGCACCAAAUUCUAGGAGAGGACUUGAAUAGAGUAGGCAUCUGUCUCUCCCCAUUCCUUUCAGGGACAGAGCUCUCCUGGUUGGGAGAAAGGGAGAGGGAGAGGGAGGAGGAUGAAUAGUGAAGCACCAAACCUCAGAAUUAAGGCCUUUUUCUUUUCUUUCUUUCUUUCUUUUUUUUUUUUGAGAUGGAGUUUCGCUCUUGUUGCCCAGGCUGGAGUGCAAUGGCACAAUCUCGGCUCACCGCAACCUCUGCCUCCCAGGUUCAAGCGAUUCUCCUGCCUCAGCCUCCCGAGUAGCUGGGAUUACAGGCAUGCGCCACCACACCCAGUUAACUUUUUUGUAUUUUUAGAGACGGGGUUUCUCCAUGUUGGUCAAGCUGGUCUCGAACUCCCGACCUCAGGUGCUCUGCCCGACUUAGCCUCCCAAAGUGCUAGGAUUACAGGCGUGAGCCACCAUGCCCAGCCAGAAUCAGGGCCUUUUUAAAACUUCAGUGUCUUGUCUUUACCCUUCAUGGUGCCUAGAAAAGCAUCUGGCUCAUAGGUGUUCAGUGAAUGAUUGUUUCAUUAGUGAAGAAAUUCCCUUUGGAAAUCUCAUAGGAAACUUACCCUCUCCAACCCUUCACCUGUGCAUUAUUCCAGCUCCCAAGGAGGCAGCAGAAACUGGGGUAAUCACAACGGUCAACAGCAGCAAAGGCAGCACUUUCUGAUUUACUUGACUGCUAUGGAUGCCACCUCUCUCCACGCCUCAGUUUAAUAUCUGUAAGUUUGGUCAGUAUCUCAUUCAAGAACAUUGCAUUUACUCUGGUACUUAAAGAUGAAAAAUCAACAUUUACAAAGCAGAUCCAUUGUCAACCUAAAUAACAAACAAAGAGAGUCUCUAUAAAAGAAAAGAAUAUUUAUUUGGGAAUAGAGCAUUGCAUAGGAAUAUGCCUGCCUUAGUAAUGCAUGUAUUCAGGGAGGUAGAGGAAGACAAAGGUUUUUAACAGAAAAAAUGUGGAGAAUUACAUAAUUGUUUUGAAAUAAUUAUCCUUGGCUAUAAAGAUCAAUAACAAGGGUGAUGCGAGUCCAAGGUUGGACAGGCAGUUGCUGGGCAGAUGUCUUUGCAGAAGUCUUUUUUGUGUAAGGUUGUAAUGGCUUUUGUAGGAGGUUGUGGCUUUUGCAAUCUUUUGUGAUAGCUUUUGUUACCAGGCAUACAAGCAUGAGAAUGCUCUCUUCAGGGCCUUCCCUAGCUCUAUUUAUCAGGGGUUUCUUGUUAGUGAUUCCAUUUUGAUUCUGACAACUUUCAUGGACAUUAUCUCAUUUAAUCUCACAGUCAUUCCAUGACUCUAUCCCCAUUUUGUGAAUGAAGUAACUGAGGUCUGGAGAGGUCAACUAACUGGUCAAGGUCAUAGAACUUGAAAAUUUUCAUUGUCUUGGGUCUCUAAUACUGGGGCUGACCAUUCUCCCAGGCAAUGUUGAGUGAGUUGGCCCAGGUGAGUCGGCUCCUCUGCAAUUGUGUCUCCUCAACUAGUUUGAACAACACAGGCCUGUGAGCCAGUCCCAUAAAGUGGCUAGGGGUUCCCUUCUCCCCAUUUCCCCUCAUCAACAGGAGGACUUGUCUGUGUGCCUUCAGACACCACACAGUAAAUCAACUGCCACAUUCAUUCUGGACCAUCAGUAUUUUGCCCCAGGAGAAAGUCAGAGGCAAGCACACUAAUAUCUCAUUGAUAUUUUCAAUUGCCAAAGGGGAAGUGAGAUGAAUCUAAUCCCAUCUGUCAAGGUGGAGAAGAGCUGAUUCGAAAGCAGCAUAGAUUACUUUAAGGAGAUGACAGUUUAUCACUCUCUGGACAAGGGAAUAUGAAAUGAGGACUAACCUCCUUUAUGAGUUGGUAAAAACAUUGAUCAGCAAAGACAAUGUCUGGGGAAAUGAACAGCAAGUUCUCUGGCCCUUUUUCCACUUUUCCUUUCCCCGAGACUUUAUGUUAUAUAUACACACUCACACAAACAGGACAGAAUCCACCUCCUGCCCCUCAAGAAAUAGUUAACAUUUGUUGAGGAUUAAUUAUUGCCAGGCUCUGUACUCCAUGUUUUAUAUUUACUAUCCAGAAGCCUUAAUUGUUAAAUGAGGUAAGUGUUAUUAUUAGAACCUUUGUACAGAUGUGGAAACUGAGGUGUAUAGAGGUUGACUUGCCCAAGGUUACCCAGCUAGUGAAGAAUGAAAUCAGAUGCAGUCCAGCCAACGCUUGGCCUGCCGUCAGUCACACGCAGUACACGUAGAUCAGUCAGCCUGGAAAGCCACCUAGACAGCCCUGCUUCACUCCAUCCUUGGUCAGCACCUUAGAGAGCCCUGCUGACCCCAAGAGGAUGUGCCUUUUACGGGUUGUAGAGGCUGAACCACAGCUGAGGGGCUGGAAUGAGUGGGGGCCUCAGACAGGGUGUCUGGAGAGCUGAGGCUCAAGGAAGGGUGGAGGGGGUGCUGAAGCUGAAGGCCGUGGGUCUUGCCAGCAAGUGGGGCUCAGUGAGCCGAGGUGCCUCUCAGUUACUUCCAUGUGUGAAUUUCCGGUGGAGGACAGUGAUGGGCUCUGGGCCCUUGGAAACCGGGACAUCCAGCGUGUCCAGCCACAGUGCAGGCUGCCCUGGCUGCUGAGAGUCUCAGAAAAUGCCACUGUCAUGGGUUAGGAAGGCCUGGGGACCACAACAAUGUGACUUCAAAAAACCCAAGAAGGAAUGUGCACACCUGAGAUGCUCAGAAUGCAUGUGUCAGUGUUCAGUUCUGACUCCUUGCUUCAGCCAGGGACAGAAGAACCUUCUACAGUAAAGAACCACAAGAGAGGGCUUUGCUGCCAGCCUCAGCCAGGGACACUUGGCGGCCAAAGCAAAGGUCACUCCAGGGCUGCAGAUUUCAGCCUCUGCGGCCAGAAACAAGCUUCCCAAUUAAUAAUACUCUGGAUCGGACAGAGAUGGCUGCUCUGUCUCAGGCGUGUUUGCCGUUGAUCCCUGUGAUUGAUGCUGAUAACAUUAAGAGUCUGUCAGGGUGAUAUUUCAUGAAUGUCUCAUGUGAUGGGAUGAUACAGUCGGGAAAUGCAAUUCCCUAGCUCAGGCAGAAUCAGAGAUGACCCAAAGUGCUGAUGGAAAGGCUGAGGCCCUUUCCAGCCUCUGGCAGGGUAGGGAAAGCGGGUGAGGUGGGGGCUUGGGAGGGGCUGGGCUGACCUAGAGCUGUAACAGGGGUCUCUCAUGAAGGGCUGUGAAGAGAAACAGUAUGUGAGAGAGGCAAGAAACUUUUCUCUGGGUUUCCUCAUGUAGAAUGAUUCCAUCUGUGUAGGCCAUGAAGGAGUCCAGGGAAGUUCACCCCAAAAUGUUGAAACCACCUUUGCAAAGAUUAUGACAGUGAGAGAAGCCUGGCAUGGCUGACUCUAUCUUGCUUCUAGCCUCACAGGCUGGCUGUUCUGUCUCAUUCCUGGGCAUAGGCCAAGCUAAUCUUGGGAGGGAUUUAUGGUUUAACUUUGAAGCCAGGAUCAUAAUUGUCCCUCCCUAAAACUGACCCCUUUCUUGUUCAGGGACUGAAACUGCCUUUGUAAGACUAAUGAAAGGCCACAAAAUUAGGAUUAUGGAAGGGGCCUGAAUUCUGAUAAGAUGUAGGCAUAGCUUGCCUUUCUGUCAUCGUUUAUUGCACUGGCACUCACAAGAUUUGUAACUUCCCCAAUUGGUCCCAUAGAUAACAUCACUAUUGUAGAACCUCAGAUUGGUCUUUUGAGAUCUUUUUCAGACUUUGGUAUUCUGGUGACUGACUCCACCCAGAUCCCAUGACUCAUGACUCAGCUGGUCCUGUGGUUCUUACCCAGUCUGACACAGCACCAGAGGACCGUUUUCCACACUUCUAUCUAUGAUUUCAUCCCCAACCAAUCAGCACCACCCAUUCCCUAGCCCCCUGCCCACCAAAUUGAUAUCCAUAAAAACCCUAACCUCUGAGUUCUCAGAGAAACUGAUUGGAGUAAUAAACUCCUGUCUUCUGUGUGGCUAGCCUUAUGUUAAUUAAACUCUUUCUUAGGGCAGUACUGCUGUCAGUGAAUCAGCUUUAUCUGUGCAGUGGGCAAGAAGGACCCACUGGGUGACUACAAUAUGGCACUUUGGUAUGUUGGUUAUUUUAAGUUAGAGGCCUUUGAUGCUGGAAGAAGCUUUACUCUGAUAUCUCCUUAUCUACCACAAGACUGGAUCUGCCAAAGAGAACACAAUUGCGUUCCAUUCCCUUCCUGAAAUCUCAUUAUCUAUGGCAGAAAAGAAGACUGGGGAAUGUAAUACACAGUAUUACACAGUAAUGUAACAUACUACACAGUAUUUACACAAAACAUGUAACACAGAAUGUACUACACAGUAUUUUCACAAAACAAUAUCUGUCUCUCCAACUCAUUCAAAUUCUAAAGAGUCAUUUACACGUCAAUUUGUGUCUUCUACGCCCAUUCAUUCUCCCUAAGAAUCAUUUACUACUCCUCAAAAGAAUUACCAACAUUCUCCAUCUCCCACUCCCCUAUGAGGAAGGGUAUAUAAGUUUCUGUCUGGAUCUCAUUAGAUGACUGUGUGAUCGUGCUUCUAUGAUCCCUACCCCACAUGUUAAAUGAAUUUUGUAUGCCUUUUUCUUUUAUCAAUCUGCCUUUUGUUAGGGUAUUUUCAGUGGACCUUCAGAAGGCAAAGGGGGAGCUUUCCUUCUUUGACCCUACAGCUAUUAGACUUGAUUGAGUAAGACACACAAUAAUGAAAGUAAAUAAGAAGAAAAACAUUCAUCCUGCUGUCUCCAGAGUUUGAAAUGUCUGCCUCAAACUUCGAUUUCUAUCUACCAAAAAUUCAUGCAUUAAUCAUAAGGCCGAUCUCAAAAGUGAAUUUUUUUUUUUUUUUGAGAAGGAGUCUCACUCUGUUGCCUAGGCUGGAGUGCAGUGGCACAAUCUCAGCUCACUGCAACCUCUGCCUCCUGGGUUCAAGCGAUUCUCCUGCCUCAGCCUCCCAAGUAGCUGGGACUACAGGCACGUGCCGCCAAGCCUGGCUAAUUUUUAUAUUUUUAGUACAGACGGGGUUUCACCAUAUUGGCCAGGCUGGUCUCAAACUCCUGACCUCAAGUGAUCCACCCACCUCUGCCUCCCAAAGUGCUGGGAUUACAGGCGUGAGCCACCGCGCCUGGACGUGAAAAGUUUUUUGAAUUCCCCCAUUAGAAAUGAUCUUCACCCUGACUCCCAUAACACUUUGUACAUUACUGUAAAAGCAUAAUAUUCAAAUAUUUACAAUAUACCUCCUUCAAAUAUAAAAUGGACACAUGCCGAAGACUUAGCAACUCAUGAAGGAGGGAACCAAUAAUGUAGUUAAGCUAAUUCAAAGAGCAUUUUGAGGAAAUGAAUACUUAUGGUCAUUUAAAAGGAAAUGUUAAAAUUUCUAGGUUAAAAAUAAAACUUGCCAUUGCAUAUAUGGUCAAAUGAUUUUUGACAAGGGUGCCAAGACCAUUCCAUGGGGAAAACACAGUCUUUUCAACAAAUCGUGUUGGGAAAACUAGAUAUCCAUGUUCAAAAGAAUGAACCCUUACCUUACCUUCCACCAUAUACAAAAAUUAACUCAAAAUGGAUCAAAGACUUAAGCAUAAGAGCUAAAAUUAUAAAAUUCUUAGAAGAAAACAUAGGGAAAAAGGUCCAUGGUAUUAUAUUUGACAAUGACUUUUUUUUUUUUUUUUGAGGCAAGAUUUCACUCUGUCACCCUGGCUGGAGUUCAAUGCAGUGGCACAAUCUCAGCUCACUGCAACCUCCACCUUUCAGGCUCAAGCAAUCCCCCUACCUCAGCCCCUAAGUAGCUGAGACUACAGGCAUGCACCACCAAGCACAGCUAAUUUUUGUAUUUUUGUACAGAGUUUCGCCAUGUUGCCCAGGCUGGUCUCGAACUCCUGAGCUCAAGCUAUUCACCUGCCUCAGCCUCCCAAAGUGUUGGGAUUACAGGUGUGAGCCACUGUGCCCAGCCCUGACCCCCACAUUUUUAAACAAAGCUUCUCUUCCAUAAUCAAUUGCAAAUCAGAAGAUCUUUGAAUCUAUCUGCAGCCUGCAAGCCCCCUAUUCAAGACAUCCCACCCUUUUAAACUUAAGCCAAUGUGUAACCUCCUGGCAAUCAAUUUUGCAAUUUAUGAUUUUGCCUGUAGCUUCUGCUGUUCUGAAAUUUAUUCCUGCCUCUAAAAAUCCUUGCCGGCAAGCCACUGGGGAGGCUAGGUUUUGAGCACUUAGCUGUCUGGUCUUCCUUACUUAGUGCUCUGCAAUAAACACCUUCCUUUCUAUCACCACAAAAUCCUGGGUGUGGGUAUCUGGUUUUACUGUGUUGGGUGAGCAGACCUCAGUUUGGUUCUGUUACAAGUCCCUGCUCCAUCUCACUUGCUACAACAUGAAUGAAACUUGAGGACAUUAUGCAAAAUGAAAUAAGCCAGUCACAAAAAGACAAAUACUGUAUUAUUCCACUUAUAUGAGGUACUUAUGAUAGACAAAAUCAUCAAGACAGAAGGUAUGAUGGUUGCCAGGGGUUGAGGGAAGACAAAAUAGGGAGUUAUUGUUUAAUGGUUGAGAAGUUUCAGUUUUGCAAGAUGAAAAGUGUUCUGGAGAUGGAUGGUGGUGAUGGUUGCAUGACAUAAAUGUGCUUAAUACCACUGAACUGUUCUUAACUCCGCUGAAAUAUGGUUAAGAUGGCCCGGGUGCAGUGGCUCAUGCCUGUAAUCCUAACACUUUGGAACGCCGAGGCGGGCAGAUCACCUGAGAUCAGGAGUUCGAGACCAGCCUGACCAAUAUGGCGAAACCCAGUCUCCACUAAAAAUACAAAAAUUAGCGAGGUGUGGUGGUGCGCACCUGUAAUUCAAGCCACUUGGGAGGCUGAGGCAGGAGAAUUUUCUGAAUCCAGGAUGCAGAGGUUGCAGUGUACUGAGAUCGCACCACUGCACUCCAGCCUGAGCAACAGAGCAAGACUCCAUCUCAAAAAAAAAAAAAAGGUUAAGAUGGUAAACUUUGUACCAAUUAAAAAACAAAGCUGGCUAACACCCUACAGGGCA
rnacentral:lncRNA from 1 species